rnacentral:rRNA from 1 species
UACGUAGGGUGCAAGCGUUGUUCGGAAUUACUGGGCGUAAAGCGCGCGUAGGCGGGCUUGCAAGUUGAUUGUGAAAGCCCUGGGCUUAACCCGGGAAUAGCAGUCAAAACUACAAGUCUUGAGUGCCUGAGAGGAUGGCGGAAUUCCCGGUGUAGUAGUGAAAUACGUAGAUAUCGGGAAGAACACCUGAGGCGAAGGCGGCUAUCUGGCGGUGCACUGACGCUGAGGCGCGAAAGCGUGGGGAGCAAACAGG